GAUGAAGAACGCAGCGAAAUGCGAUAAGUAAUGUGAAUUGCAGAAUUCAGUGAAUCAUCGAAUCUUUGAACGCACAUUGCGCCCGCCAGUAUUCUGGCGGGCAUGCCUGUUCGAGCGUCAUUUCAACCAUCAAGCCCCCCCGGGGGCCUCGGUGUUGGGGGACGGCACACCAGCCGCCCCCGAAAUGCAGUGGCGACCCCGCCGCAGCCUCCCCUGCGUAGUAGCACACACCUCGCACCGGAGCGCGGAGGCGGUCACGCCGUAAAACGCCCAACUUUCUUAGAGUUGACCUCGGAUCAGGUAGGAAUACCCGCUGAACUUAAGCAUAUCAAUAAGCGGAGGA
rnacentral:misc_RNA from 1 species